rnacentral:rRNA from 1 species
UGCCUACACAUGCAGUCGACGAGACCUUCGGGUCUAGUGGCGCACGGGUGCGUAACGCGUGGGAAUCUGCCCUUGGGUCUGGAAUAACAGUUAGAAAUGACUGCUAAUACCGGAUGAUGACUUCGGUCCAAAGAUUUAUCGCCCAGGGAUGAGCCCGCGUCGGAUUAGCUAGUUGGUGGGGUAAAGGCUCACCAAGGCGACGAUCCGUAGCUGGUCUGAGAGGAUGAUCAGCCACACUGGGACUGAGACACGGCCCAGACUCCUACGGGAGGCAGCAGUGGG